rnacentral:rRNA from 1 species
GACGAACGCUGGCGGCAUGCCUAAUACAUGCAAGUCGAGCGAACAGAUGAAGUGCUUGCACUUCUGACGUUAGCGGCGAACGGGUGAGUAACACGUAAGGAAUCUACCUAUAAGCGGGGGAUAACAUUCGGAAACGGGUGCUAUUACCGCAUAAUAUCUUCUUCCGCAUGGAAGAAGAUUGAAAGACGGCUCUGCUGUCACUUAUAGAUGACCUUGCGGUGCAUUAGUUAGUUGGUGGGGUAAUGGCCUACCAAGACGAUGAUGCAUAGCCGAGCUGAGGGGGGGAUCGGCCACAUUGGGACUGAGACACGGCCCAAACUCUUACGGGAGGCAGCAGUAGGGAAUCUUCCGCAAUGGGCGAAAGCCUAACGGAGCAAUGCCGCGAGAGUGAAGAAGGCCUUCGGGUCGUAAAACACUGUUAUAAGAGAAGAACAAAUUGUAGAGUAACUGCUACAGUCUUGACGGUAUCUUAUCAGAAAGCCACGGCUAACUACGUGCCAGCAGCCGCCGUAA